AGAUGCACGUGUAUUUUUAUAAAGAAAAGUUGAAAUCAUUUGUGAAAGCUGAAUCACAGAAGGGCGGUCUUGUAAUAUUUAAAAUGAAGAUCCAGUGUUCGGAAAACGAUCUUAAUUUCGAGGAAAUGGAAAAAAUUAUAAAUAAGGUGCGAUCCAUAAAAUUCAACAGCUCCGUUACGUCCAUUUCCCUUAGCGAGUUUUGUAGCUGUAACAGUUCCAACAUACAUAUUUUACCAAGGAUCCUUGGAUUAUCCGCCUUGCUCGGAAUCUGUAACUUGGAUCGAACCUAUGUAUACUCUGAAUUUAUCUAAAGAACUGGUUAAUGGAUUCAGGAAAAUAAAGUUGGAAGGGGAAGACACGUCGAAUAUUAGACCACCCCAGCCGCGAAACAAACGUCCAAUUCAUACGGUGUUUGCGACAGAUAGCCUUGCCGAUUAUCCAAAUAGCUUUGAAGGAAAUUCCUCGCCCCGAAUGUCCUAAACAAAUGCGAGCCCCUUUAAUAAAACUACGGCUGCGGGUGGU